UAUGGCCACAUCACGUUGGGACUCCGUUUCCUCUACGAUCACCGAAGUUAAGCAACGCCGGGCCUGUCAGUACUUAGAUGGAUGACCAUUUGGAAAUACCAGAUACAG